rnacentral:rRNA from 1 species
ACGGAAGGCAGCAGUGGGGAAUAUUGCACAAUGGGGGAAACCCUGAUGCAGCGACGCCGCGUGAGUGAAGAAGUAUUUCGGUAUGUAAAGCUCUUUAAGCAGGGAAGAUAAUGACGGUACCUGCAGAAUAAGCCCCGGCUAACUACGUGCCAGCAGCCGCGGUAAUACGUAGGGGGCAAGCGUUAUCCGGAUUUACUGGGUGUAAGGGAGCGUAGACGGUAAAGCAAGUCUGAAGUGAAAUCAUAGGGCUUAACCCUGUAAUUGCUUUGGAAACUGUUUAACUAGAGUACCGGAGGGGCAGGCGGAAUUCCUGGUGUAGCGGUGAAAUGCGUAGAUAUCAGGAAGAACACCGGUGGCGAGGGCGGCCUGCUGGACGGUAACUGACGUUGAGGCUCGAAAGCGUGGGGAGCAAACAGGAUUAGAUACCCUGGUA